CCCCCCCCCCCCUUUCUGUCAACAUGACGAGCGCUCUAGGAAAGGCACUCGAUAGAGGUUAUUAAAACGGACACAAAUCAGCUAAAGAUUUCCAGAGAGGAAAACUAUCACUCCUUGUUGAGGAAUUUGGAUGCUUUAUCAUCACUGUCACCUAUGAGACCACUAGAACAUUUUACAGUUUUAAGAAGUCAGUUUCCUUCUGGGCAUUCAAGCACAUAUAACAAAAGGUUUGCGUUUUACUGUGAUGGCAAAAAUGUUUACCCAUGUUUUAUAUGUUUAAUAUGAUUUAAUUGUGUUUGUCGUUUAACAUUUGUGUUAUCACUCAGGGGAAGUGAUAGCAUAUUGUCCACUUGAUGCCCUGGCUGUAAAUGCAAAUAGAGUUCAUGUAUUUUUUUCUAUUAACUUUCCUGUUAGUUUCAAUGCAACUAAUAUUACAGUGCUGGAGAAGUGAUUUCUCGGGUCACCAGGAUGAGAAGGCCAAAAUGAGGUCUUGCUAAGACAGCAACUGCUGUGAAGCUAUUUGAACCUUUCAGCUCCUCUUCCAAUGAAGAUGAUUAACUUUUGCUGGCCACCUCAACUCUAUCAUCAGGACUGCUGCUGAUUCAACCAGUGGGUGAAAUUGCCUUUCUGUUACAUUAGGUCCAGCUGUGUUGUGAAUUUGUUGCCUCAAAGUUUACGCAAGUGUCUUGAUACCCUGAUUGUCCCCACUGCAGAAGUUCUGGUCCUUUUACUGAGAUGGACAUUUCAUUUCCUUUGUGAGGAAGCCUGGAAGAAAGACAGGACAGUUUGUUCCUGAUCCCUCUCCUUGUAGUCAACCCAGACACAAGACAAUCUGAACUGGGAGCCACAGACUUAUUCCCUGCUGUAGGCCAUAAAGCAGUAUGUAUGCAUUGAAAUAGUGGAGGCAACUGAGUGUUACCAAUGGCUAAGAAACAGCCUGAGGUCCUUGGGGGCUGCAUACAGUGCGUGCAUGCAAGGGAUGCGUUUUUGGUCAUCCACUUUUGGCCAUGCUGUUGGGGUACGGGUGCAUGCUGGGGCCCUUGGGAAGGAAGGCUGCAGGGACACAUACUGUCUGAGAGAUUCAUCCAGACUACAGCUCCCUCCCUGGGGCAAGAUGGGGGAGCAGGACACAAGAAAGAGGCUCCAGGUUUGAGUCAAUGUUUUUCUGGACUGGAUCUUGCCUGCUGCACACAUGCUAAGUUUUACAUAGGUACAACUUGUUUCUACUAAUCAGUCUCGCAAAAACAAUUUAUUAAAAUAAAUG